CCUACGGGAGGCAGCAGUAGGGAAUCUUUCACAAUGGGCGAAAGCCUGAUGGAGCAACGCCGCGUGCAGGAUGAAGGCCUUCGGGUUGUAAACUGCUUUUAUAAGCGAGAAAUAUGAUGGUAACUUAUGAAUAAGGAUCGGCUAACUACGUUCCAGCAGCCGCGGUCAUACGUAGGAUCCGAGCAUUAUCCGGAUUGACUGGGUGUAAAGAGUUGCGUAGGUGGCAUAAUAAGUAGCUAGUGAAAUCUGGUGGCUCAACCAUUCAGACUAUUAGCUAAACUGUUAAGCUCGAGACCGUUAGGGGUAACUGGAAUUUCUAGUGUAGGAGUGAAAUCCGUAGAUAUUAGAAGGAACACCAAUAGCGUAGGCAGGUUGCUGGGACGGUUCUGACACUAAGGCACGAAAGCGUAGGGAGCAAACGGGAUUAGAUACCCUAGUAGUC
rnacentral:rRNA from 1 species